GAUGAACGCUGGCGGCGUGCUUAACACAUGCAAGUCGAACGGAAAGGCCCUGCUUGCAGGGUACUCGAGUGGCGAACGGGUGAGUAACACGUGGGUGAUCUGCCCUGUACUUUGGGAUAAGCCUGGGAAACUGGGUCUAAUACCGAAUAUGACAAUUGUUUGGAUGCGAUUGUGGAAAGCUUUUGCGGUAUGGGAUGAGCUCGCGGCCUAUCAGCUUGUUGGUGGGGUAAUGGCCUACCAAGGCGUCGACGGGUAGCCGGCCUGAGAGGGUGUACGGCCACAUUGGGACUGAGAUACGGCCCAGACUCCUACGGGAGGCAGCAGUGGGGAAUAUUGAACAAUGGGAGCAAGCCUGAUGCAGCGACGCCGCGUGGGGGAUGACGGCCUUCGGGUUGUAAACUCCUUUCGCAACCGACGAAGCCUUUUGGUGACGGUAGGCUGAGAAGAAGCACCGGCUAACUACGU
rnacentral:rRNA from 1 species